rnacentral:rRNA from 1 species
GAUGAACGCUGACAGAAUGCUUAACACAUGCAAGUCGAUUCGAUUUACCUUCGGGUAUUGAGGAUGGCGGACGGGUGAGUAACGCGUAAGGAACUUGCCUCUUGGACUGGGACAACUGUUGGAAACGACAGCUAAUACCGGAUAUUAUGAGAUUCUCGCAUGGGAAACUUAUGAAAGUUAUAUGCGCCAAGAGAGAGCCUUGCGUUCCAUUAGCUAGUUGGUGGGGUAAUGGCCCACCAAGUCGACGAUGGAUAGCCGGCCUGAGAGGGUGAACGGCCACAAGGGGACUGAGACACGGCCCUUACUCCUACGGGAGGCAGCAGUGGGGAAUAUUGGACAAUGGGCCACAAGCCUGAUCCAGCAAUUCUGUGUGCACGAUGAAGGUCUUCGGAUCGUAAAGUGCUUUCAGUUGGGAAGAAGAAAGUGACGGUACCAACAGAAGAAGCGACGGCUAAAUACGUGCCAGCCGCCGCAG